GCUUGGCUUGCCUGUAACGGGCUAGGCGUGGCUUUGUGUUCCUAGCUUGGCUUGGUGUUCGUAGCUUGGCUUGGCCUUAGUCGCUUUGCCUGGAGUUUCUUGCUUGGAUUGGCAUUUCCUCCCUCGCAUUCCUUUGCUGGGCUUGACCUUUUCUUUGCUGGGUUUGGAGGAGCGGCAAGAGCAACGUGGGUGCUUGGGAAGACUACGACGACAGCGCCUUCAUGGAGCCCCGGUACCACGUCCGUCAAGAAGAUAUGGGCAAGCUCCACAGAGCUGCCUGAUGGGGUAAAGUCCCCAGAAAGGAUCUCAUCUACAUGCUCAGGGGCACUGAAGUGAACAAGAGGGACAAGCAAAAGAGAGUAAUGAUUCUCACUGUGGAGUCAUUUGAUUAUUGAGACCCAUUGGCAUAAGAUUACAUCCUCUGACUAUAAAAAUCCUGGAAGAAAACCUAGGAAAUAUUCUUCUGGACAUUGCACUUGGCAAUGAAUUUAUGGAUACUCAGUGGUGGAGUUACUGGAUCAGACAGAGCCAAUUGAUGAUCAGUAAUUGUGGCCAAUAAUCAGCUAGAAAUAAAGUACUUAGCAGGGCCUGAAAACGCCAAAACUCUGAGACCACUGACUUUCAAAAACUUCUGACAGCCCUGAGUGAAAUGUCCAAGCACAUUUAUCCACCAUUCAAAGACGCUUUAUUGCCUGUCCUCUGUGCAUCUCAGACGUCUCUUUUUACCAUGUCUAUAUGCUGCAUUAGCCAUUUAUAUGAAACUCCAAGGAAUCUUAGACUAUAUAUUCAACCAUGUAUCCCUAGUACCUAGCACAGUCCUGGCAUAUAGUUUGCUACUAAACAUUUGAACAGUUGCAGAAUGAAGUAAUUAUCUUGUACCUAGGUUCCAAAUUUUAAGGUGAUUUCUCACUAAAAAUAAAGUAUUACAGUUCAUAAA